AAUACAGCUUCAGUCGUCAGCCCUGCUCCGGACUCUGAAGCAGCCCAACCUGCUGGAAACGGAACCGAAACACCAAAAGAUGAGGUGAAGGAUGAGGCACCAAAAGAAGG
rnacentral:sRNA from 1 species